rnacentral:rRNA from 1 species
UACGGGGGGGGCAAGCGUUGUUCGGAAUUACUGGGCGUAAAGGGCUCGUAGGCGGCCAACUAAGUCGGAUGUGAAAUCCCCAGGCUUAACCUGGGAACUGCAUCCGAUACUGCGGGUCUCGAGUCCGGGAGAGGUGAGUGGAAUUCCUAGUGUAGAGGUGAAAUUCGUAGAUAUUGGGAAGAACACCGGUGGCGAAGGCGGCUCACUGGCUCGUUUCUGACGCUCAGGCGCGACAGCGUGGGGAUCAAACAGG